UAAUACGGAGGAUGCGAGCGUUAUCCGGAUUCAUUGGGUUUAAAGGGUACGUAGGUGGCCCGGUAAGUCAGUGGUGAAAACCUGCCGCUUAACGGUAGGCGUGCCAUUGAUACUGUCGGGCUUGAGUGCAGUUGAGGCAGGCGGAAUGUGUAGUGUAGCGGUGAAAUGCAUAGAUAUUACACAGAACUCCGAUUGCGAAGGCAGCUUGCUAAAGUGCAACUGACGCUGAUGUACGAAAGCGUGGGUAGCGAACAGG
rnacentral:rRNA from 1 species